rnacentral:lncRNA from 1 species
GUCGAGUUGUAGGAGUUUCUCCCUGAUAGCAGAGAUUUAAGUUGGUGAGUUUUGUUUGUGGGCAAAACCUACGGGUUAGCCGAGAGGAUUGGGUAUUGAGAAAGGUAAUUGGCAUGCAUGCAUCAUGAGCAUCAUAUAUUGUUAGCAUUCUUGUUCAAGCAUAGUAGCUGCAUUUGUUUAGAAUGGUUACCUAUCUACUUCUUCUAUUUAUGACUGAUUUAGACCUAGUUGGAAAGUCGGCGGGGUCGGCGGCCGAACCAACUUGAAACUUUGUUGUAGUUCUCAUCCCACUAUUUUUCCAGAUCCAGGUCCGAGCGAGGCGGUCGAGGACCGUGGCAAGGGUAUCGCACCCUAGCUAGUAACUACUGAGUAUAGUUCAUACCUUGUCAUUAUCAUCCUUUGUUUAUGAUGAUUAGAUGUAUGAAUGAUGUAUAAAUAUACAAGACUUAUGUUUUGGAUGAAAGAAAUGUUAUGUAUUUGGGACAUGUGAUGUAUAAAGAAAAUAAUUAAAUAAUAAUAUAAAUGUUUAUAUGCAUGUAUGUGAUUAAAUGUAAUCAUACUACUUGUAUGGAUGUAAUAGUAUAGAACUUUCACUUUGGUUGUUA